AUUGAACGCUGGCGGCAGGCCUAACACAUGCAAGUCGAGCGGAUGAAGGGAGCUUGCUCCUGGAUUCAGCGGGGGACGGGGGAGAAAUGCCGAGGAAUCUGCCUGGUAGUGGGGGACAACGUUUCGAAAGGAACGCUAAUACCGCAUACGCCCCACGAGAGAAAGCAGGGGACCUGCGGGCCUUGCGCUAACAGAUGGGCACAGGGCGGAUUAGCUAGUUGGUGAGGUAAUGGCUCACCAAGGCGACGAUCCGUAACUGGUCUGAGAGGAUGAUCAGUCACACUGGAACUGAGACACGGUCCAGACUCCUACGGGAGGCAGCAGUGGGGAAUAUUGGACAAUGGGCGAAAGCCUGAUCCAGCCAUGCCGCGUGUGUGAAGAAGGUCUUCGGAUUGUAAAGCACUUUAAGUUGGGAGGAAGGGUUGUAGAUUAAUACUCUGCAAUUUUGACGUUACCGACAGAAUAAGCACCGGCUAACUCUGUGCCAGCAGCCGCCGCAGUAA
rnacentral:rRNA from 1 species